rnacentral:rRNA from 1 species
GAUGAACGCUGGCGGCGUGCUUAAAACAUGCAAGUCGAGCGAAGCAGCCCGGCUUGCUCGUUGGAUAAGUGGCGAACGGGUGAGUAACCAGUGCGUAACCUACCCUUCUAUCUGGGAUCAGCCUGGGAAAGUGAGUGUAACACCUGCCAGGAGCGUUCAUCGACUGGUGGGUCUUGGAAUGAUUUAUCGGUUUUGGAUGGACUCUCGGACUAUCAGCUUGUUGGCGAGGAAUUGGCUCACCAAGGCGUCGACGGGUAGCCGGCCUGAGAGAUUCACCGGCGACAAUGAGACUGAGAGACGGCCGAGACGCGUACGUGAGGCAUCGGGGGGAAAUAUUGCACAAUGGGGGCGAGCCAGAUGCAGCGACGCCGCGUGAGGGAAGAUGGGCUUCGGGUGAUAAACCUCUUUCAGUAGGUAAGAAGAGAAAUUGACGGUACCUGCAGAAGAAGCACCGGCUAACUACGUG